UACGUAGGGCGCAAGCGUUAUCCGGAAUUAUUGGGCGUAAAGAGCGUGUAGGUGGCUAGAUAAGUCGGAUGUGAAAUCCCUCGGCUCAACCGAGGAAGUGCAUUCGAAACUAUCUAGCUCGAGGAUGGCAGAGGAAGGUGGAAUUCCUAGUGUAGAGGUGAAAUUCGUAGAUAUUAGGAGGAAUACCGGUGGCGAAGGCGGCCUUCUGGACCAUUCCUGACACUGAGACGCGAAAGCGUGGGUAGCAAACAGG
rnacentral:rRNA from 1 species